rnacentral:rRNA from 1 species
GACGAAGGGGGCUAGCGUUGUUCGGAAUUACUGGGCGGAAAGCGCGUGUAGGCGGUUGUUCAAGUCAGGGGUGAAAGCCUUGAGCUCAACUCAAGAAAUGCACUUGAUACUGGAUGACUAGAGGACCGGAGAGGAUAGUGGAAUUCCCAGUGUAGUGGUGAAAUACGUAGAGAUUGGGAAGAACACCAGUGGCGAAGGCGGCUAUCUGGACGGUUUCUGACGCUAAGACGCGAAAGCGUGGGGAGCAAACAGG